rnacentral:SRP_RNA from 1 species
CUGUGCUAAAACGGGGAGACAGCGGUGCCCUGUAACCCUGAACCCGCUAUACAGGGGCUGACAAUCUGUUAGGAGGCUUGCAACUGUAAGCCAGGGCAAAUAGAAGUGGCGUUGAAGGCAGGACCCUUUGCAGUACAAGUUUUUGAACCCCGUGAGCUCCGGAAGGAAGCAGCGGUAAGAAAAUGUUGUGCUGGCUUAGGAAAAUCUUGUUGGAGCCAUAGAUAUUUGUACAGCUUGUAGUUGUAAGUCAACUACAGACGCACAG